GUUGACCUCGGAUCAAGUAGGGAUACCC
rnacentral:rRNA from 1 species